rnacentral:rRNA from 1 species
AAUGAACGUUGGCGGCAUGGAUUAGGCAUGCAAGUCGGGGGAAUCCCAGCAAUGGGGGAACCGGCGUAAGGGGCAGUAAGGCAUGGGUACCUACCUUGGGGUUCGGGAUAGCCAUCAGAGAUGGUGGGUAAUACCGGAUGACGUCGUGAGACCAAAGAUUUAUCGCCCUUAGAGGGGCCCAUGUGGUAUUAGCUAGUUGGUGGGGUAACGGCCCACCAAGGCGAAGAUGUCUAGCGGGUGUGAGAGCACGACCCGCGCCACUCGCACUGAGACACUGGCGAGACACCGACGGGUGGCUGUAGUCGAGGAUCUUCGGCAAUGAGCGCAAGCUUGACCGAGCGAUGCCGCGUGAGCGAUGAAGGCCUUCGGGUCGUAAAGCUCUUUAGUGGGGGAGAAAAGCCGCAAGGUGUGAUCUAUCCCAAAAAUAAGCACGGGCUAAGUUCGUGCCAGCCGCCGCGGUAA